rnacentral:lncRNA from 10 species
CUAGAGUCUCCUGCUCCUCCAUUCCUGCUUCCUCCUCACGCUGCCCCCACAUCCUCCCCAACUCACCUUCAUGCUACAUCUCGGCAAAUACAGCUCAUAUCCAGGCACGGUGCAGCCCUUGACAGCUGGGUCCGCAAAGGCAGAUCGGAUGUUCUGCCAAUUGAAUGGAAACUGUCCAUAGUGGGGAGCAGAGAGCCUCAUCUUUUCUGGAACUGAACAUCCAUCCUUAAGGCCAGAUUUCUCCCAUCACCAACUUUAACUCCUGCCCUAGCCCUCUCUCUUCCUUUUCAAAACCCUCUCCACCCAGGAAGGGAGAUUCUGGAGCCAAGACUGUACCAGCCACACCUCCCCAGAGUUGUUAAGGAAGGAACUCGAAGCCAGGGGUGGUCUUCUGGCAAGCACCCCCACUACCAGUAGCAGGACAGAUGUGUUUCUAAUGGACUACACUAUCCCCGGAGGUCACAUGAUUCAGGCUGCCAAGGGUACCUGCCCUUGGGAAAUCAACUCCCGAAGAUAAAUUGGGAUUGGGUCCUGAGAAGAUCCAUGGAAGCCCAGAGGACCCUGCCUCUCUCUGUUGCUUCAUGCUGUAGAGGCAGUACUGGGGAGGGCCUGCCCCACAUCCGGCAGGGCAGCUGGAACCAUGUGUUUGAUGACACUCUGCUCCCUCAAUGUGGAGCCUCAUCCUCAUCUCACAGUCUAGCAGGCCUCUGGUGGGUUAGGCUUGUCUCACCCAGUGUGUGAGUUUUUUUGGAAGUGACCUGAUUUUGGAGUUUCCCUCCAAGCCUUUCUCAGGUACAUGCUUUCUCUUUUAUUCUGUCUUCUUUUUUUGAUCUUCUUAAAUCUGAUUUUCUCCUUUUUCCCUCUCUUGUCUCCAUCUUUUUUCCAGUCUCUCGCUUCUCUUUAUUUCUCCCCAUAUUUCACUCUGUUCUCUCACCCCAACCUUUCCCUUCUGUUUCUCUCCCUCCCUCUCUUCCCACCCCCUGCCUGGCCUUCCAUAUAUCAAGCAGAGUUUUAUCACCUUAUGCAGGGGCAGCCCUGCCACCUGCCAUAAAGUUGAUAGGCUAAUGACAUUUUGUGGAUAUUGCCAUGUCACAAGUCCAGGACAGCAUCAAAAAUAGCCCUGAUGUCUAAACCACUUCAGCUAUCUUUUUUAUUUUUAAAAUAAAUACAUUCACAUGCUUUUAAGAAACUAUAAAAAUAUAUAAAGUAAAAAGAUCUUUCUCUCACACUGUCUCCACCUCUCCUGGUCUCACCGUUGUGCUUAGGGGAAACCAUUGUGAUUAGUUUCUCCUGUGUCCUUCCAGAGUGUCUUUAUGCAAAUGAAAAUUAUUGUGAUAAUAUAUUCCUAUUUUCCCCCUUACUACACAAAAGAUAGACUACCAUAAUCCCAUUCUGCACUUUUUUUUCACUUGAUAAUAAAAACAUGAUUUUAUUAA